UGGGGAAUAUUGGGCAAUGGGGGAAACCCUGACCCAGCAACGCCGCGUGAAGGAAGAAGGCCUUCGGGUUGUAAACUUCUUUUACCAGGGACGAAGGACGUGACGGUACCUGGAGAAAAAGCAACGGCUAACUACGUGCCAGCAGCCGCGGUAAUACGUAGGUUGCAAGCGUUAUCCGGAUUUAUUGGGUGUAAAGGGUGCGUAGACGGGAAAUUAAGUUAGUUGUGAAAUCCCACGGCUCAACUGUGGAACUGCAACUAAAACUGGUUUUCUUGAGUACUGGAGAGGAAAGUGGAAUUCCUAGUGUAGCGGUGAAAUGCGUAGAUAUUAGGAGGAACACCAGUGGCGAAGGCGACUUUCUGGACAGAAACUGACGUUGAGGCACGAAAGUGUGGGGAGCAAACAGGAUUAGAUACCCUGGUAGU
rnacentral:rRNA from 1 species